rnacentral:rRNA from 1 species
CAGCCGCCGCGGUAAUACGGAGGGUGCAAGCGUUAAUCGGAAUUACUGGGCGUAAAGCGCACGCAGGCGGUUUGUUAAGUCAGAUGUGAAAUCCCCGAGCUUAACUUGGGAACUGCAUUUGAAACUGGCAAGCUAGAGUCUUGUAGAGGGUGGUAGAAUUCCAGGUGUAGCGGUGAAAUGCGUAGAGAUCUGGAGGAAUACCGGUGGCGAAGGCGGCCCCCUGGACAAAGACUGACGCUCAGGCACGAAAGCGUGGGGAGCAAACAGGAUUAGAUACCCCUGUAGUCCCUGUCUCUUAUAC